AGCAGCCGCGGUAAUUCCAGCUCCAAUAGCGUAUAUUAAAGUUGUUGCAGUUAAAAAGCUCGUAGUUGAAUUUCGGGAUCGAAUUGUUGGUCGUGCUUCGGUACGCACUGGCAUUAUCGGUUUCUACCUUCUGAAGAACCGCGAUGUCAUUAAUUUGGUGUCGUGGGGAAUCAGGACUGUUACUUUGAAAAAAUUAGAGUGUUUAAAGCAGGCUUACGCUUGAAUACAUUAGCAUGGAAUAAUGAAAUAGGACGUUUGAUUCUAUUUUGUUGGUUUCUAGGAUCGACGUAAUGAUUAAUAGGGAUAGUUGGGGGCAUUAGUAUUCAAUUGUCAGAGGUGAAAUUCUUGGAUUUAUUGAAGACUAACUACUGCGAAAGCAUUUGCCAAGGUUGUUUUCAUUAAUCAAGAACGAAAGUUAGGGGAUCGAAGACGAUCAGAUACCGUCGUAGUCUUAACCAUAAACUAUGCCGACUAGGGAUCGGAUGAUGUUAAUUUUUUUAAUGACUC
rnacentral:rRNA from 1 species